rnacentral:rRNA from 1 species
GAUGAACGCUGGCGGCGUGCCUAAUACAUGCAAGUCGAGCGAACAGACGAGGAGCUUGCUCCUCUGACGUUAGCGGCGGACGGGUGAGUAACACGUGGAUAACCUACCUAUAAGACUGGGAUAACUUCGGGAAACCGGAGCUAAUACCGGAUAAUAUAUUGAACCGCAUGGUUCAACAGUGAAAGACGGUUUUGCUGUCACUUAUAGAUGGAUCCGCGCCGCAUUAGCUAGUUGGUAAGGUAACGGCUUACCAAGGCGACGAUGCGUAGCCGACCUGAGAGGGUGUCCGGCACAAUGGGACCGGGAAAACGUUCCAAACUCCUAGGGAGGGCAGAGGUAGGAAAUUUUCCGCAAUGGGGGAAAGCCUGAGGGAGCAACGCGGCGGGAGUAAUGAGGGCCUUCGGAUGGUAAAACUCUGUUAUUGGGAAAAAACAAAUGGGUAAGUAACUAUGCACGUCUUGACGGUACCUAAGAAGAAAGCCACGGCUAACUACGU